GGGGCGUUGCCAUCUUUGUUGGGGGCAAAUGAUCGGCUCUGGCUGGGACUUGUGGUUUAUCUCAAAUAUCUGCAGUCAGGUGACAGAGGUAUGGCUUAGAAAGAAGAAGAGUUGACAAGUUACUGAAAGGCAUUUUGACUUCUUGCAGUUCUAAUGAUGUUAUUCGGUUACAUAAAACCUGCAAAGUCAACUCCUCUCCAACCAGUCUGUGACAUCCGGGUCCUGGACAAUUACAUUAGAGAAGCAAAGAAUGCUGCAAAUACAGCGAAACAGUGUGAGGAGACCUGUGCACUCGCAGGAAAUUUCACCCUUCCGAAAACCAGUGUCAGCUACAGAGAAUGGGCAGCAAAGGAUAUGGGGACGAAAGCCAAGGAGGUCCAGGGUGGUCUCAAGCUGCUGGCAGCUGCGGUCCAGAAGGUCCAGAACAUGACAGUCAGCGGCAACAUGCUGUAUGUAAUAGAGAGGAGCUACAGUAACAUCCGCAGCAUUGCACAGAUGGUGAAGAGCUUUGCUCCUGUUUUCGUUAAUGGGGAACAGCCUCCUGUACAGACCACCUUCAACAGCAGGACAGUGAGAACCAUCUUUCACGUCUACCUAAACUUCUUACAAGGGAAGGUCAGAUUGUUUUUCCUCGACACAGAAGCUUGUAAUCUGGCCACAAGCUGACAGCCCAGAUCAACACCAGAAGACUCUGACAGCCGCUUCCCAUUCAAAUUAUAAACUGUAACCUUUGCAUAGUAAGAGCACAAAAAUGUACAGCACCAACAAGGAAUGGUGAGAGAGGGAGAAGGAAACGAGCAUGGCUAGUUCCUAUGGGAAAUGAUGAGGAAAGCUAGACACCCAGCUCUGGGGAACUUGAUCAGAGACUCUAUUAAGUGCUCAGAAACUUACAAUGGUUUGAACUCAAAGGCGCUCAGUAGAGAGCGAGAGAGAGAACUGCACCCGAGGACCCAUUUGAAUGUGACAAACCUCUCUGACUGGAAGUGUCUUGUUUUUAUUGAUGGCGCAAUCUGCUGUCGAGGGCGCUGUUUUGUUCUUUAGAGUGUCUGUGAGUAUGGGACGUAAGAUUUUAAUGUUUGUAGCUCUGUCACCUAAUAGUCCUCAAGCCGUUGUUAUUGCUUAGCUUGCGGAUUAAAGUUCACCAGCAACCUGAUAAAAAUGGGCGACUUCAGUCAAGUGUUUUGUGAGGAUGAGUUGGGGAUCGAACCAGGGUUGCUGAAGAUGUGAAACAACUGGUUUACCAUCCAUGCCAGAAGCAAUGGAACCAUGGGAAACCCCCGCCACUGCAAACACAGUGACAUGGAAUCUUUCAAGAGCAACUCCAAGAAGUGAUUCCUUAAGUAGGCAGAGUUCAUCAUCAAGGUCCCCCAUCACCCAGGUCAUGCCUUGUUUUCAUUGCUACUGUCAGGAAGCAGGUACAGAAUACAGAAGCCUGAAAGCACGCACUCAACAGUUCAGGAACAGCUUCUUCUCCUCUGCCAUCAGAUUUCUGAAUGGACAUUGAACCCAUGAACACUACCUCAUGAAUUUUUAAUUUCUACUUUGUUUAAUUUAACUUUUUAAUAUAUGUUCUCACUGUAAUUCACAUUUUUUUCUAUAUUAUGUAUUGCAUUGUACAAUUGCUAUAAGCAAAUUUCACAACAUAUCCCAGUGAAUUUAAACCUGAUUCUGAUUCUGUGCACACGAGAUUCUGCGGAAACUAGAAAUCCAGAGCAACGCACACAAAUUGCUGGAGGAACUCAGCAGCUUAAGCAGCAUCUAUAGAGGGGAAUAAACAGUCGAUGUUUCUGGCUGAGACGCUUCAUCAGGUUGAACUAAUUUUGGAUUAGGUUAAGUUAGCUUUAUUUGUCACACGUACAAUGAAAUGUGUUGUUUGUGUCAACGACCAACACGGUCUGAGGAUGGGCACAGGGCAGC